rnacentral:rRNA from 1 species
UGAGAGUUUGAUCCUGGCUCAGGACGAACGCUGGCGGCGUGCCUAAUACAUGCAAGUCGAGCGAGCAGAACCAGCAGAUUUACUUCGGUAAUGACGCUGGGGACGCGAGCGGCGGAUGGGUGAGUAACACGUGGGGAACCUGCCCCAUAGUCUAGGAUACCACUUGGAAACAGGUGCUAAUACCGGAUAAUAAAGCAGAUCGCAUGAUCAGCUUAUAAAAGGCGGCGUAAGCUGUCGCUAUGGGAUGGCCCCGCGGUGCAUUAGCUAGUUGGUAAGGUAACGGCUUACCAAGGCAAUGAUGCAUAGCCGAGUUGAGAGACUGAACGGCCACAUUGGGACUGAGACACGGCCCAAACUCCUACGGGAGGCAGCAGUAGGGAAUCUUCCACAAUGGACGCAAGUCUGAUGGAGCAACGCCGCGUGAGUGAAGAAGGUUUUCGGAUCGUAAAGCUCUGUUGUUGGUGAAGAAGGAUAGAGGUAGUAACUGGCCUUUAUUUGACGGUAAUCAACCAGAAAGUCACGGCUAACUACGUGCCAGCAGCCGCGGUAAUACGUAGGUGGCAAGCGUUGUCCGGAUUUAUUGGGCGUAAAGCGAGCGCAGGCGGAAGAAUAAGUCUGAUGUGAAAGCCCUCGGCUUAACCGAGGAAUUGCAUCGGAAACUGUUUUCUUGAGUGCAGAAGAGGAGAGUGGAACUCCAUGUGUAGCGGUGGAAUGCGUAGAUAUAUGGAAGAACACCAGUGGCGAAGGCGGCUCUCUGGUCUGCAACUGACGCUGAGGCUCGAAAGCAUGGGUAGCGAACAGGAUUAGAUACCCUGGUAGUCCAUGCCGUAAACGAUGAGUGCUAAGUGUUGGGAGGUUUCCGCCUCUCAGUGCUGCAGCUAACGCAUUAAGCACUCCGCCUGGGGAGUACGACCGCAAGGUUGAAACUCAAAGGAAUUGACGGGGGCCCGCACAAGCGGUGGAGCAUGUGGUUUAAUUCGAAGCAACGCGAAGAACCUUACCAGGUCUUGACAUCUAGUGCCAUCCUAAGAGAUUAGGAGUUCCCUUCGGGGACGCUAAGACAGGUGGUGCAUGGCUGUCGUCAGCUCGUGUCGUGAGAUGUUGGGUUAAGUCCCGCAACGAGCGCAACCCUUAUUAUUAGUUGCCAGCAUUAAGUUGGGCACUCUAAUGAGACUGCCGGUGACAAACCGGAGGAAGGUGGGGAUGACGUCAAGUCAUCAUGCCCCUUAUGACCUGGGCUACACACGUGCUACAAUGGGCAGUACAACGAGAAGCGAGCCUGCGAAGGCAAGCGAAUCUCUGAAAGCUGUUCUCAGUUCGGACUGCAGUCUGCAACUCGACUGCACGAAGCUGGAAUCGCUAGUAAUCGCGGAUCAGAACGCCGCGGUGAAUACGUUCCCGGGCCUUGUACACACCGCCCGUCACACCAUGGAAGUCUGCAAUGCCCAAAGCCGGUGGCCUAACCUUCGGAAGGAGCCGUCUAAGGCAGGGCAGAUGACUGGGGUGAAGUCGUAACAAGGUAGCCGUAGGAGAACCUGCGGCUGGAUCACCUCCUUUCUAAGGAAG